ACCAUCAUGUGAGCCACAACAAAUUCGUUAUUUGUCCCCUUCAAAACACAUAAAGGGACCAACAAAAAUCGAAUAAAAAGGAAACAGCUCAUGUUAAUAAAGUAAGCAUUUGAUUUUCUUUGCUCUGAAGUAUACCCCCAUUAUAAAAGCUGAAAAAGAAAAAGGCUGAGAAUAAUAUAUUUAUUAGUUUUAUUUUAGUAUUAAGGUCGAAGAUAACUUUGAAACAAUUAAAGGAUGAAGUUGCCAUUACUGAUAGUUAUUCUCCUCCUUCAUAGCCAUCUUCUUCAAGUUUUCUCAUUAUCCUCUCGAUUUCUCCUUCAUUCAGACAAUGAAGUAGUGACGAUCGAUAAACGUGGAGGCGCCGGAGCCAGUGGACACGCUAGUGCCCACGGCGGCUCCUCAGGAGGACGAGCAUCGGGGGGACGCGGCGGCGGGGGUUCUAGAAAGUCACCUAAAACUGGCAAUGCAGGUAAUAAUAUUCCACUGUAUGCAGGUGCAGCAGGAGCUGCAGGAGCUAUGAACCAUCACAAUUACAACAGACCCAAUCGUAACGUUGGGACUACCCUCAACUGCAUUUGUUUUUCUUCCUUGUUUUUUUUAUCAUCUGCAGUAUACUUGUUAUGAUGUUGUAAUUAUAUGGUACCCCUUUGAAAGUAGCGUUUGUAAUUAAAUCAUGUUAAUAUGAGAGUCCAAGGCGAAAAAGGGAAUGUAAUUAAUGUUAAUACCGUUAUUGUGCAAUGGGGUUGCAUUAGUUGGUUUGAUAAUUUGCUCUUUCAAGAGGAACAUUUUGUUGAAGGAACUUUGAAGUGCCUUUUAACUGUUAA